GAGGAGCCAGGCUGGUUUUCAUCCAAGCCCAGGCAACUCCACUCACCGUGCUCAGGUCCCGUUUGAGAAACCUGGAAUCCUACACCGCCCGGGGGCUCAGCGUUGGAAAGGCUCUCCCUCCGUAUGGAGAAAUUCCAUCUCUAGACUCUGAUAAAUGGGCUUCCUGAAAGUUCCUGGAAUCCGAUCCCUGCUGCCUGGCAGGGCGGCCGGCUCUGUUUGUGACACCCUAAUUGUCAGCGGCUUCUUCCUUACACAGCCCUGCAGUCUGCCUGCUCCAGCUUCUGAUGGACCUAAUUCUGGAACUUCACAUUUUCUCCUAAGGGGUUUAUCCAGGUCAAGGCCAGCUCCAUGACAGCUCUCCCCAGAAUACAGAUGCAAAGGAGACAGGCACAGCAGGGAGCAGAAGGCUGAGGCCCCUUUGUCCCCGCCCCAGCCCGGAUGUCUGAGAGUCCCCAUGCUCCCUCCCCAUGCCCCCACACAUCUCCCUUGGCGGGCGCCUCUGAGGCUUGGCCGUCAGCACUGACUGACCCAACUGUCUUAGUCCACUCAAGCUGCUAUCACAACAAAUACAGUGGACUGGGUGGCCGAAGACACAGACAUUUACUGCUCCGUGUUCUGGAAGCUGGAAGGCCAAGAUCAAGGUGCUCGGAGACUCCAUGUCUGGUGAGGGUGUCCGGUGCCCACACGGUACCUCCUCACUGUUAUCCCACCGGGGAGUGGGGAGGGUCUCUCCGGGCCCUUUCAUAAGGACGUUCAUCCCAUCCCUGAGGGCUGCAACCAUGGCUCAUAAUGCCACUGCAGGUGGGGAUUUCUACCUGUGAAUUCUGGGGGGACACCCGUGUCCAGCCCUUUACAGCGCCCAGCCUGACAACGGUCCCUGGAGCAAAGCUGGCAGGAGCACCAGGAAGACGGAGCCUGCCGGGCUGGGCUGGGCCGGUUCUUCCCACAUCCCACGGGUGCACCACACAGCCAAGGAGGGGUGGAAUUCUUGUCAUCAUCGAAAUGGUUUAGCAUCUACGCUGGAUUUAUAAGAAGCUCUGAACGUAGCUGUGUUUGUGCAAAUCUGCCACCUUUAAUAAAAAUGGCCGUCUCUCUAUUGCAACUCACGCCUGGAAACUUCACUGCACUGUGGACGUUCUCCUCCUUUAUCCUUCACGGACAAGUGGGAGGUGCGGACACGCCUGUCUCUAGCUUGCUGCUGAAGACGGGGAAGGCCAGCUAGGAGGAAGCCACGCGCCCGAGGCCGUCUGACUGUGGAGAAGACGAGGAGGCCACAUUCCAGGGCAUCUGUCUCAGCUCAGAGUCUGCAGAAUUUUGUGUCUGCCGCGCUGGGGUCUGAAAACGUGUCCUGGCCGGGCAGGCUGGAACCUGGGCUUAUGGUGCACCUCAGAGCAGCUCAACGCAGCUCACAGGCCUGCCACACAGAAAGGGAGAACUGCACGUGAAGAGAGAGUGUGCCGAGAAAACUCGCCUCUGCACCAGAAGGUCCCUCUGUGAACAAGCAGCAGAGCCCACGCCACAGGCAGGUGCCGCUGACGGGCGUCUAUCAGGCCCACUCCGUCCCGACCAGCUCACUUUUCAGGGAUGCGCUGGACCUGCUGGGCCUCCGGAGCACCGAGGGACGGGGCAGCACAUCAGAGCCUUGACCCGACGAACAUUCAAUCAUGUUUAAGGCCUAACGUAGAAGCAAGAGGAAAAACACGAGAAAUGUCGCUUUUUAAAUUAGCGACGCCGUGAUCAUUUAAAUCUCUCAUCAGAGAUGUUUCUUUCACCUUCUGAGCUUGCCGCUUCGUGUAGUGUCGCUCUUUUCCUGAUCAUCUCAAGCGAAACUUACAAUAAAUCAUGAGAAACAUUGAAAGAACUCCUUUUGAGACUCUGGAAGUAAGAAUUUCCGGCUUUCUCCGCGGAAGGAAACCUCAGGAGGCGCGACUUCUCCAUCCUGAGGACAAUCUGAUUUUCCAGCAGAAAGCCCGAAAACAAAGUGGAAAAAAACGUUUCUGGGCCUCCUGUGUUCCUCCUGCACCUCGCACCUCCCGGCUUGGAUUCCCAAAGCUCAUCAGGCAUGAAAAUUCUCCCAGCACCUGCGGGAACCGCUUCGUUGCCAGCCCCUGUUACAGGCAAGCGGCUGUGUUUUAACUUUUAAAAUAUUCUCUCUGCUUUUUCAAGCAUGACAUUUUCUCCCAGUCACCCACACUGAUACGAAGUUUGCACCUGAGGCUGAGACUCCCUGCUACAUGCCCAGGCUUCCCAGAAAGUCGUCCUCAAAUUCUCUAUAGAUGCAAGUUUGCCUGGGCUGGAAAUUGGUGGUGCCGUGUGAGCAUGUGUGUGUACCCAUGUAUGCACUGUGUGUGUGUGUGUGUGUGUGUGUGUGUGUGUGAGAUUUAUUCUAAGGAACUGGCUCAUGCUGUUAUGGAGGCUGACAGACUGAAACGUGUAGGGCAGUCCAUCAGGCUGGAGAUUAGAGCAGGUGUCUGUGUCAGUCUCAAGGCAGAAUUCUGUCUUCUCCAGGAAACCUCAGUUUUGGUCGCAAGGCCACUAACUGACCAGGUGAGGUCCCACAUGUUCCAGGGCCACCCAAUUCAGGUCAGCUGUCGUGGCUGAGACACAUCUACGCCACACCUUCCUGCACUGUCCAAACUAGGAUUUGAGCAAACAACUGGGCACCAUAACGUAGCCAAGCUGACACAUAAAAUCAGCAGUCACAUAUGCAAGUGUGUGCAUGUAUGUAUGUGCAUUGUGCACAUGUGUGCAUGUGUCUGUGUGUGCAUGCAUGUAUGUGCAUGUGUGCACAUGUGUGCAUGUGUCUGUGUGUGCGUACAUGUAUGCACAUGAGUGCACGUGUGUGCAUGUGUCUGUGUGUAUGUGUGUGCAUGUAUGUGUGCCCCUUUGUGUAUGUGUGUGCAUGUGUGUAUGCAUGUGUGCAUCCAUGUAUGUGUUCAUGUGUAUAUGUGUGUUCAUCCAUGUGUGUGUGUUCAUGUGUGUGCACGUGUCUAUGCACAUGUCUGUGUAUGUGAGUGCAUGCAUGCAUGUGUGUUCACUUGUCUGUGUGUAUGUGUAUGUAUGUGACUGCAUGCAUACAUGUGCGUUCACUUGUCUGUGUGUAUGUGUGUGUAUGUGAGUGCAUGCAUGUGUCUGUGUUCACUUGUCUAUGUGUAUGCAUGUAUGCAUGUAUUCAUGCAUGUGUUCAUGUGUCUGUGUGUGAACGUAUCUGUGUGUGCAUGUGUGUGCACAUGCAUGUAUGUGUUCAUGUGCCCACGUGUGUGUAUGUGUAUGUGUGUAUGCAUGUGUGUGUUCAUGUGUCUGUGUGUCUGCAUGUUGUGUGUGCAUGUGUCUGUGGGCAUGUGUGUGCAUGUAUGUGUGUGCAUGUUCACAUGUCUCUGUGUUGUGUGUGCAUGUAUGUGUUCACGUGUCCGUGUGUGUGCAUGUGUUGUAUGUGUGUGCAUGUUCACGUGUCUCGCUGUUAUGUGUGUGCAUGUUGUGUGUGUGCAUGUAUGUGUGUUCAUGUGUCCAUGUGUGUGCAUGUGUGGUAUGUGUGUGCAUGUUCACGUGUCUCUCUGUGUUAUGUGUGUGCAUGUAUGUGUGUUCAUGUGUCCGUGUGUGUGCAUGUGUGGUAUGUGUGUGCAUGUGUCUGUGUGGGGGGGUGUGCAUAUACAAGUGUAUAUAAUUCUGCCCCAGGUUGGCUGGCCUGGCAUUUCCCCUUCAUGGUGACUGCGACCUUGUUAACUAUGACCCACUCCUUCCGUCAGGAGUGAGAACUCACUAGCAUGAGGCCUGGGUCAGGAGUGAGAACUCACCAGCAUGGGGCCUGGGUCAGGUGUCCCUGACGAUCCCACACUCAGCCCGUCUUUCUGAAAAACAACGUCAUGGCAGCUGGUCCAUUUCGGUGCUCAACAGAAACCUCAAUCUGGCUGGGCCACGAGUGUCAGGGCAGGAGGUUCCCAUCCCAGCCCCACACCCACCACUGGCCCAGCCUUCUGCAGGUGGUCUGGGGUUGUAACUCCCGGCCUUGAGGACAGAGCAGUUUGGAGUUCAGCUUGGCCAAUUCAUGGCUGAAUCUUCUGACUGGGUGUCCACCAUUUUCCCUUAGACCCCCACCUACCUUCCAAGACCCCCUCCUUGGGCCCACAUCGCAGACUCUGUGCAAAUCUGUGUGUCUCUUCUGACUGGGGCGGUGGAUCCUCUGCCUGACCCACUGCAUCGCCCAGAGCAGAAUCUAAGCUUCUGAGUCAUACUCUGUGCAGACACUCGGGCUUCCUCACCUCAGUCCAAAAACCAUCUUCCCAACCAAUGCGGUGCCUCCCAGCCCUGGCUCCUCGAGGUUGAGCCUCGCCUGGGCCCACCUUCCACAACUUGGACGCUCCCCACCCUCAGCCCAAGCCCUUUCUGUCUCUCGCCUUUAACCUCUCUCUCGCCAAGGGAUGGUUCCCAUCAGGAAUAGGGUUUCUUUUGUGCCAUCCCCUUAAGAUGGGUGUAAAAAGAAAGUGUGGAACUUCCGGAAGCCCAGGCUGCCUGCUGGCCCCACCUGCCUCUCCUUGCCACCUCCCUUCACAUCCAGAAGCGCGGAGCUGCUGCAGGCCCGCUGUGGCUGAACACCCAGCAUCAGCCAGGGCGGCUCAGGGCUCUCCUCAGCUCACCAGGCGCAUGCCUGGUUCAUCACGGAAUUCUUAGAGGCAGCCAGGUAGACGUGCCACGUUCACUUGCAAAUCAGGAAGCUGAGGCUCAGGGUGUAUUCAAAUGGGGCAAUGUUUUUAUAACAUACAGGAUCAUUUAUAAUCAAUUCCUUUUUCUUUUUGUUUUUUGGGACAGAGCGUCACUCUGUCGCCCAGGCUGGUGUGCAGUGCCACGAUCGGAGCUCACUGCAACCUCUGCCCCCCUCGUACAAGCGAUUCUCCUGCCUUGGCCUCCAGAGUAGCUGGGAUUGCAGGCGCCCACCACCAUGCCCAGCUAAUUUAUGUAUUUUUAGUAGAGAUGGGGUUUCACCAUAUUGGUCAGGCUGGUUUCGAACUCCCGACCUCAGGUGAUCCGCCCGCCUCGGCCUCCCAAAGUGCUGGGAUUACAGGCGACUGGCCUGAGCCACUGUGCCCGGUCUGCUUGUUUGCUUGUUUGUUUGUGAGACAGAGUCUUGUUGCUCUGUCACUCACCCAGGCUGGAGUGCAGUGGCGUAAUCUCAGCUCACUGCAACCUCCACUUCCUGGGUUCAAGCGAUUCUCCUGCCUCAGUUUCCUAAGUAGCUGGGAUUACAAGUGUGCACCAUCACGCCUGGCCAGUUUUUGUAUUUUUUAGUAGAGAUGUGUUUUCACUAUACAUUGGCCAGGCUGGUCUUGAACUCCCGACCUCAGGUGAUCCACCCGCCUCAGCCUCCCAAAGUGCUGGGAUUACAGGCGACUGGCCUGAGCCACUGUGCCCGGCCUGCUUGUUUGCUUGUUUGUUUGUUUGUGAGACAGAGUCUUGUUGCUCUGUCACUCACCCAGGCUGGAGUGCAAUGGCGCGAUCUCGGCUCACUGCAACCUCCACUUCCUGGGUUCAAGCGAUUCUCCUGCCUCAGUUUCCUAAGUAGCUGGAAUUACAAGUGUGCACCAUCACGCCUGGCCAGUUUUUGUAUUUUUUAGUAGAGAUGUGGUUUCACUAUACGUUGGCCAGGCUGGUCUUGAACUCCCGACCUCAGGUGAUCCACCCGCCUCGGCCUCCCAAAGUGCUGGGAUUACAGGUGUGAGCCGCCACAGCCGGCCUCUGUUUUGUUUUUGAAAAGGUUAAGUAAAUUUAGAAAGAAGAGUCAUCUUGCAAAUAUUUAGCCUCCCAACCCAUUCAUGCGCCAUACACCAAUUCCCAUCUCAUUAGCUCUCUUUCAACUUCACUCAGCAGAGGUUUUAGCUUUCAGUGUAAAGAGCUCGGGUGGCCUUCACACACUGACUCCUAAGUACCAUUUUCCUGCUAUUGUAAAUGGAUUUCUUAAGUUUCACUUUCCGAUUGCUCGUUGUUCUUUUGUGGAAAUCUGACAGUUUUCGCAUGUUGGCCUUGUUACCAUGCUCAUAAUUUUUCUGCAGAUUUCUUAGCAUUUUCCACAUAAGCAACCACGUCACUGCAAAGAGAGAAAAUGUGACUUUUUCUCUCGCUAUAUUAAUGCAUGGUACUUAUUUUCCUUGCCUCCUUGCUCUCUCUAGGACCUCUAGUGCACUGAUAAAUAGGUGUGAGUAAACGUUCUUUUUUUUUUUUUUUUUUUUUUGAGACGGAGUUUCGCUCUUGUUACCCAAGCUGGAGUGCAAUGGGCGAUCUCAGCUCACCGCAACCUCUCCACCUCCUGGGUUCAGGCAAUUCUCCUGCCUCAACCUCCUGAGUGGCUGGGAUUACAGGCACACACCAUCAUGCCCAGCUAAUUUUUUGUAUUUUUAGUAGAGACGGGGUUUUACCAUGUUGACCGGGAUGGUCUCCAUCUCUCGACCUGGUGAUCCACCCGCCUCGGCCUCCCAAAGUGCUGGGAUUACAUUCUUAAGUCACAGUGUUAAGUACAUUGCUAUUUGUGGAAUAGAAAUACAUGAUUAACCAUAUACACGAUACCUCUAUAUAGAGAUGACUUUCAUCAGGCAGAAAUUUUGUUCCAUCUCACGUGGCUGAGUUUUGUCGUGAAUAAGUGUUUGUCAGAUUCUUCUUCUUCGUCUGUUAAGAGCAUGUGGUUUCCUCCGGGAUUCUGUUAAUGAGUGAAUGGCAUCGAUUAGUUUUGAAUGUUGAAUUCACCUAGCAGAGCCCCUCUCGGUCCCGAUGCAGGUUCUGCUCUGCCUCCGUAGACUGCCAGGUUCUGUUUGCUGAUGCUCCGUGGGGCGUGAUUCCACAGACCUCCACGACGGACGUCUGCCUGCCACUUUCCCUUCUCAUUACGCCGUUCCUGGGUGUGGCGUCGCGGCGUUGCUGACCUCAUGAAAAGACCUGGGAAGUUCCUUCCUAAGUGCUGUGUAGAACAGAUGCAAUUUCUUCCUGAUUUUUUUUUCAGAAUUCACAAGCAACAUCCUGUGUCUCUGUAGCUCCCGUGGAGAAGGUUCACGAUUUAUUUCUUUAGUAGAUAAGCUCUCCAGAACUUACGCUGACUCUUCAGUCACGUGUUACACAGCUAGACAUUUAAACAUUUCAUUAAUUCUGUCACAGAAAUGUUUUCUCUUGUCUUACUGUAUUUUUUCUGUUUGUUUUUUUUGUAUACCAUCAACUUAGAGCUCGUGUUUUAUCGGUGAUUUUUUCUCAUUCCUGUAAGUUGCUUUUCUUUUUACAUCUGCUUAUGUUGAAAAGUCAGAUUACCGAUUUUAAAUCCUUCUUUUCUAAUAUAAGCGAUUAAAGCUAUAAGAUUCCCUCCAAGCCCGAUUUAUCUGCAUUCCCAAAAUGUUAACAGUUUGUUUCAUUUUCUGUCAGUAAAAAUGUUUCCGUCUCCCGCUGGCUCUGCUCCUUCCGGUCCCAUCUUGACUCCUCCUGUUCCUCUGGCAUCUGCAUUUCUGCGGAGCUUAGGUUCACGGGCCUCGUUCUGCCAGUGCCCACCUGCCACCACAUGGACGUCUGCAUUUUCAGGUUGUUUUUGCUUCCUUCCAGUGACAGCAGCAGUCCACCCUGCACAGAAGCCGCCUGGGCCAGAGCGGGCCACACCGACAGGCACCCGUCCCCAGCCGAGGGCGGCCCCCAGGACACAGCAGCGCUGGCUUGGCGAGGAGCUGGUGGUCGAGAGGAGGGGGCUGCGUGGUCCUGUGCGUGUGGCACGCGGAGGACAGCCGUGCUGCACAGGGUGGGGCCGCAGGCCUGGGGCUUCACCCAUGUGAGAUUUAGAAAGGCGUCUCCCCUUCCUGGGUCUCAGUCUCCCUACCUGUCGAAGCAGGACACUGUGCUCAUGUCUCCUCUCCCACCCUUUCUGGCUUCUAGAAAUGCUCCCGGCUUCACAGGCUCAUGGGGAGGCUCAGAGGCGUGCAAGCUGUGCGUCUCCUACCGAGUUUCUCUCAGGAGCACGUUUCUGAGAUUAUUGUACGCCAGCUUUACAGGACACAUGGGCUCUCACAGGCGUCCGAAGGAAAGACCGUCCCUGAAAAUCAACCCCCACUCCGUAUAGCGGGGGCUCCAAGUGGCUGGCUCUCGUGGAAGCCUGUUUGUGUCUCUGUGUGCGUCCGUGUGUCUGUGUGUGUCCGUGUGUGUGUGUCUGUGUGUGUGCCCGUGUGUGUGUCUGUGUGUGUGUCCAUGUGUGUCUGUCCGUGUGUCUGUCCGUGUGUGUGUCCAUGUGUGUAGUGCCCCAGCUUCUCCCAUCUGGUUGAGCUAAGCUACCUCCAGCCUGGGUGCUCUGGGGUCAAGCAAAGGAGACGCCCAAGACCCUCCAGACACUGGAGAGGCUCCUCAGGAAGGAACUUCACAGCUGAAGCCUGAUUUGCAAAAUGCCAACCAACUCUGCCUUCUUCCUGGGGUCAGACCACAGCCCCACGUUGGAUUUGGUGGGGACGUCAAAAUGCAGAGCACACUUUUCUCUCUGUGUUCCCGUGGCCUCUUGCAGAGCAGAGACCCCGCAUAGCCACAGCCUGGGUGCACGUGGACGGAAUGUGCCCCUUCUGAGGACGCAGCCUCGGGAGUGGCCCCAAGACGUUUGAGGCGACUAGGAGAUCCAAGAGCCCUGAUCCCACCUGGGCUCAGCUUGGCUCCUCUUCUGACUUCGUCCCUGUGAACCUCCCCAGGGAUGCGUGGGGCUGGGACUACCGUGCUCUUCCCCUUCAGCCUCCGUCCACGGCCACGCCUGGGGAGGAGAUGGCACCUCCCGGCUCCACUCAGCUCUGUCCUUCAGAGGCGGCGGUAUCCACGCACGGGGAGAAAUGGCUCCUUGGGAACCACUCAGGACUGGCAGGAAAUUACAUGUUUAGAAUAAAUGCUGUAUAUUAAGGUUACCAAGAAAAUUCUAGGAGAACACAGGCCU